GCCCGGAUGGUCUAGUGGUAUGAUUCUCGCUUGUAAGGAGACCUCGUCGCCAUUCCAUCAAUAUCAUCGAUACUAAUAAAUACUCUUAGUGGGCUAUAUAGUACCAAUCUGCGAGAGGCCCCGCGUUCGAACCGCGGUUCGGGCC